UAGGGAAUCCUCCACAAUGGACGCAAGUCUGAUGGAGCAACGCCGCGUGAGUGAAGAAGGUUUUCGGACCGUAAAGCUCUGUUGUUGGUGAAGAAGGAUAGAGGUAGUAACUGGCCUUUAUUUGACGGUAAUCAACCAGAAAGUCACGGCUAACUACGUGCCAGCAGCCGCGGUAAUACGUAGGUGGCAAGCGUUGUCCGGAUUUAUUGGGCGUAAAGCGAGCGCAGGCGGAAGAAUAAGUCUGAUGUGAAAGCCCUCGGCUUAACCGAGGAAUUGCAUCGGAAACUGUUUUCUUGAGUGCAGAAGAGGAGAGUAGAACUCCAUGUGUAGCGGUGGAAUGCGUAGAUAUAUGGAAGAAUACCAGUGGCGAAGGCGGCUCUCUGGUCUGCAACUGACGCUGAGGCUCGAAAGCAUGGGUAGCGAACAGGAUUAGAUACCCUGGUAGUCCAUGCCGUAAACGAUGAGUGCUAAGUGUUGGGAGGCUUCCGCCUCUCAGUGCUGCAGCUAACGCAUUAAGCACUCCGCCUGGGGGAGUACGACCGCAAGGUUGAA
rnacentral:rRNA from 1 species